CCUACGGGAGGCAGCAGUAGGGAAUAUUGCUCAAUGGGGGAAACCCUGAAGCAGCAACGCCGCGUGGAGGAUGAAGGUUUUCGGAUUGUAAACUCCUUUUGUUAGAGAAGAUAAUGACGGUAUCUAACGAAUAAGCACCGGCUAACUACGUGCCAGCAGCCGCGGUAAUACGGAGGGUGCAAGCGUUACCCGGAAUCACUGGGCGUAAAGAGUGCGAAGGCGGGAAAGAAAUACAGAGGUGAAAUUGUAUGGCUUAACCAUAGAACUGCAUUUGAAACUGUUAUUCUAGAGUAUGUGAGGGGUAGGUGGAAUUCUUGGUGUAGGAGUAAAAUCCGUAGAGAUCAAGAGGAAUACUCAUUGCGAAGG
rnacentral:rRNA from 1 species